UUUGACCUCAAAUCAGGUAGGACUACCCGCUGAACUUAAGCAUAUCAAUAAGCGGAGGAAAAGAAACCAACAGGGAUUGCCUCAGUAGCGGCGAGUGAAGCGGCAAAAGCUCAAAUUUGAAAUCUGGCGUCUUUGGCGUCCGAGUUGUAAUUUGAAGAAGGUAUCUUUGGGCCCGGCUCUUGUCUAUGUUCCUUGGAACAGGACGUCACAGAGGGUGAGAAUCCCGUGCGAUGAGAUGACCCGGGUCUGUGUAAAGUUCCUUCGACGAGUCGAGUUGUUGGGGGAAUGCACC
rnacentral:rRNA from 1 species